GCCGCUGUAGCACAAAGGUAGUGCAUCGCUUUCCUACUUUGUGCGGUAUUGAGGUUCCUUACGUAAGGCGAAGGUUGUGGGUUCGAUCCCCAUCAGCGGUU